AAUGGCAGGUCAGCAUACUGCCGUGAAUACUUCCCGGGCCUUGUACACACCGCCCGUCACACCAUGAGAGUUGGAAAUACCCGAAGCCUGUGAGCUAACUUAAAGAGGCAGCAGUCGAAGGUAGAGCCAAUGAUUGGGUGAAGUCGUAACAAGGUAAC
rnacentral:rRNA from 1 species